rnacentral:rRNA from 1 species
UACGUAGGUGGCAAGCAUUGUCCGGAUUUACUGGGCGUAAAGGGCUUGUAGGCGGUUCGUUAAGUCUGGUGUGAAAUCUCCCGGCUCAACCGGGAGGGGUCAUCGGAUACUGGCGGACUAGAGACAGGUAGAGGAAAGCAGAAUUCCCGGUGUAGCGGUGAAAUGCGUAGAUAUCGGGAGGAAUACCAGUGGCGAAGGCGGCUUUCUGGGCCUGUUCUGACGCUGAGGAGCGAAAGCGUGGGGAGCAAACCGG